AGGCAUGUGCCACCAUGCCCAGCUCAUUUUUGUAUUUUUAGUAGAGAUGGGGUUUCAUCAUGUUGGCCAUGCUGGUCUUGAACUCCUGGCCUCAAGCAAUCCUCCUGCCUUGGCCUCCCAUAGUGUUGGGAUUAUAGGCAUGAGCCACUGCGCCUGGCUAUGCAGGCAUUUUUCAAAGGCCCCUCACCUCUCCGUCUCCUCCCAGUAAGGAGUAGUGAGUGUGCCCAGCCAGCAGACGGCAAUAAAGUAGCCCAUGGUGGCCAGGAGGCUCCGGGGAGUCCCAAGUCCACCCAGGAGUGCUUUAGGGCACUGAUGUGAGUGGGACCCCCCCCCACUCCACCCCUUUUUAUUUAUUGUAAUGUGGCGACAUUACUUUUAUAAUGUAAGUGCUUAUGAUCUUCUGACAUCUCUGUGUCUGACCAUUAUAUAGAGGGGAUAUUUAGCAAUGUUGGGAGACAUUUCUGGUUGUCACAGUGGCCGGUAUCUAGUGGGUAGAGACCAGAGAGUUCCCAAACAUCUCACAAUGCCCAGGGCAGCUCCCUCCCCUGCCACGCACACAUAACAAAGAAGUAUCUGGCCCCACAUGGCAACAGUGCUAAGGCUAAGAAACCCUGGUCUAUAAGAGAGCGCCACAAAUCAGACUGUCAGCACAGGAGGGAAUCCAUGCACUGGAGACUGGCGUCCAGAGAGGGGCAGUGAUUUGCCUAAGGACAUACAGGAAAGCUAUGAUACAAAUCACUGCUCAGAUUCAUGGGUCCCACCUGGCGAGUUAAUGUUUUUCUUCUUCCUUUUUAAAAAAUCUAACAGUAAUUUUUAGUAACUUGUAAAUCAGUUUUGUGAGUGAAUUCUCUUUUAAUGUCAACCCAGCAUAAAGAGGGGCAUCCACCCUGAGAAGCACCGUGGUUGCGGACACAGAUGCAGACAGAAGGGAAGUCAUGGUAGCUUGUGAACAGGGAGAGAUUUCAGCUGUAGCCAGCCCGGUAGCCCUUGCACAGGUGGGAGUGUCCUGUUGGGGCCCUGCCACCUGGCAGGUCCCUCUGGGUCUCAGCCAGAUGAAGGAGGAAGGCUUCAAUAUCCAGAUUUGCCCCAGGGUAAGCGGCCUUGUGGGAACCAGGCACUAGCCGGGGGGCAGGGACACCAGGGAAGCUUGGCAGGGGACAAGAGCAAAGAAUGGGGCUGGAGCCACUCCAGAAGGUGAUAGUAAGGGACCUGUCCUCUGUAAGAACAAGAUUCUUCAGGGCCCCUUACUCAUAGCCUCCUCUCCUGGCAGCCAAGAAUGAAUGAAUGGGUAUGUGAACUAAUGUAUAAUGGAUGAAUGAAUGCAUGGUAGAGGCAGCAGGCUCUGGACUGCUCAGCGGGAUUCAGUGCGGAGAUGUGCAGACUUGUUAGAUGGGAAGAAUCCCCUGAAACAGUUGCUGACACCCCUCCCUGGAUAUUUCAAUUCAGUAGGUCUGUGUAGGGCCUGGCCCUCCUGGAUUUUUGGAUCAGGCACAUCUGGGAAAUACUUGGAGUAGAGUGGAAACACAGUGGAAGGUGUGUGCAGGCAGACAGCCGCACCUGGCCUGGCACUCCCCUGCUUGUGACCUGGGUGCACACCGCCCUGCGCCCCGCUUUGCUGGCGGGUCAGAUGGUAUGGAAGUCACCGCCUUGCACAGUUAUCAUUGUGUGCCUGGUAGUGCCCUGUCCCUUGGUCCUUGUGCUAAUAAUAACAACUACAGUAACAAUGAUGGGGUCAGGUGGAUCCAGACACGGCACUGCAGCUUUCAGCUGACUAGCUGUGUGACUUGGGCAAGCCCCUUAAUCUCUCUGAUCUCAGACUCCCUCCUCUGUAAAAUGGAAUUAAGAAUAACCUCAUUGAGGAGCCUCCUGAUGAGGUAAGGAAAGUGCCUGGCACAGUGCCAGGCUGCUAAAAGAUCAAUAAAUGUCCCAUCCCCCAGCCCCACCCCAGUUCUUUCCAGGAAUUUGAGAGACUCCUCCCCCUGUGUUUGAAAGUGGCAAAGUCUGGCACACUUGCCUCAUGACACUGACUCAGGGCAGGUCCUGUGGCCAGCAGGUCACACAGCCCCGAGGCCAGCCUGCCAGUGCCUUUCUCUGACUCCUGGGCUCCAGCAGGUGCCCGACUCCUUCCCUUUUCAGACCUGCCUCAGUCUGUGGAGCCCUGGCUGCUAAAGGGCCACUCAAGCCUCACCAGUCUGGGCCCUCACCUUACAAAUGGGAAAACUGAAGCCCAGAGAGGGUCUUUGACAUCCCUGAGGUCACACAGCAAGUUCCAGCAUCUCUUCCUUCCCAGAAUCUUUGUCCCAAAGAGUGGUGUCUCUUUGCUAAAUAGAUGGUUCUGUUCUUUCCCUUCUUCCUCUUCUUUCCUCGGCUUGUCCUCUCCCUCUUAUUCUAUUUGUCUCGUGGUGAGUCACAUAGUGCCUCAUGUAGACCCCCACUUCCCCUCUCCAGACUCUCAGGCUCGGGAAGUGAUGAGUUUCCUGGGAAUCCGCAUCAUGAUGACUCGUACCUUCUACGUCUGUGCCCAGCUGUGGCUGCCUCUGGGAUGGUGGAUGAGUUCCUUCAGGGCUUUGUGUGAACUGGGCCUGAGCCAAGCCCCUAGAUGGGGAAAACAGGCCACAUUGUUCAGGAGCACAAAGGAUGUUAGCAAGAAAAGACACAUGACCCAUGGCCGCCCACACACCCACAUCUCUCCACGCCCUGUGCCAUUUCUGCCCGCCGCUGUGUGCUGGGCGGUUUCCUCUGCACAGAGUUUCCCUUGAGCUGCUACUCUGAGGUCGUGUGCCUGUUGUCAUCUUUUAAAGCCUCAGUUUUAUCGCCAUUUCCCAGGUGACCUCUAGCACACUCAGGUUUGAGAAGCGCUGGUGUGGUUCAGGAGCAGCGCCUCUUCAUUCUCGAGCACACUCUCCCCAGUCCUCUAAGUCGAGCGUGAGCUCUGUCCAGAGAAGGCCUCCAACCAGACCAUGUGGACCGCGGGCAGGCUGGUGACACUGCCUGUUGACAGUGGAUGGACAGACUGCUUCCCGCGUAGUGACCCUGGGCAAGUCACAUCUCCUCUCUGAGCCUCAGUCUCCUGUGGUUGCCAGGGGAGAACAUGUAAAAGGGAACACAUGAUGUUCCAGGAGGCCGCUGGCUAUCUAGAAGGAGAAGCAGGCUACGGGGAAGGUGUUAGGCACCAGGAGGCUCUUUCCUGGGGUACAGGCUAAGGUCGUGGGCUACAUGCAGAGAAGGAGACGAAGGCUGUCCUAGAGCUGUCCAAAGUGGGCCUGGACUAGCCACGAGCCGCCCCUUUCCCUAAUAGAGCUCACAUCUGUUCUAUUUUCAGGUCCCCUUCCCAUCCUCUCCAACGGCAGCUGAGUGAAAGCAAGCUGACUGGCCUGUGUGACCAGAGCAGGGCAGGCUGUCCAUGUGGGAGGCGAGGCGAGGAACGCGGGGCUGGGGCACUCACAGCUGGGCGCCUGGGCUGCUGGAGGCCUGGAGUGGUCGUUCACUCUUCUGGCUCAGUGUGGCAGUGGCAGGCGGGUUCUGGAUUCAUCCCACUGGCUUCAAGGCCUGGCUUUGCCACUAACUAGCCGUGUGACUGUCCCAGUUAUCAAAUGGUGCUUGGCAAAUCACACCAAAACUUACCGGUUCAAACAAUGUCAAUACUUAUUUCGCUCGGCCACCUGCAGUUUGGGCAGGUGCUCUGCAGCAGGACAGGCCAUCAGUUAAGGCACCUUGAAGGCUGGGGGCUGGAACCAUUGGAAGGUUUGCUCACCCACCUGUCUGGUGGCUGGUGCUGGCCUGCCUUGGCCACAUCACUAUCUCGGUGGCUCUUCCCCGUGGUCUUUCCAGCAUGGUGGCUUUAGGGUGGCCAGACAUUUAUUUAUUUAUUUAUUUAUUGAGACGGAGUCGUGCUCUGUCGCCCAAGCUGGAGUGCAGUGGCACGAUCUCAGCUCACUUGCAAUCUCCCUCCCAGGCUCAAGCAAUUCUCCUGCCUCAGCCUCCCGAGUAACUGGGAAUAGCCACGGCGCAUGGGUAAUUUUUGCAUUUUUAGUAGAGACAGAGUCUCACCAUGUUGGCCAGGCUGGUCUCAAACUCCUGGCCUCAGGUGAUCCACCUGCCUCACCUCCCAAAGUGCUGGGAUUACAGACGUGAGACACCGUGCCUGGCUGGUGGCCGGACUUCUUAUAGAAUUGCGGUCCCAGAGAGAAGUCAGAAGUCAUACAGCCCAGCCCAUAUGCAAUGGGAGGGGAGUUUGAUUCCAUCUUUUUUAAGAAGAGUGUCAAGGAAUUUGCAAACUUGUUUUAAAAUCACCAGAGUAAGCCUGGGCAUGUCACUCCUCUGCAUUUCAGAUAUUUCCUUUGUAAAACUCAGUUAAAUGCAGUGCUCCCUCCUCACUGUUAGUUUUCUGUGGCUGCCGUAAGGAAGCCAUCAACUUAGUGAUUCGCAGCGACACAGAUGUCUUCUCUUACAGUUCUGUAGUUUCGAAGUUCAGCGUGGGUCUCACUGGUCUAAAAUCAAAGUGUCAGUGGGGCUAGGUUCCUUCUGGAUGCUCUGGGGAAGAAUCCAUUUCCUUGCCCUUUCUGGCUUCUAGAGGCUGCCUGAAUACCUUGACUCACGGCCCCUCCCUCCAUCUUCAAAGCCAGCAACAGCCUGUUUUCCUCACGUGGAUUCACUCUGACCUCCACAUGUAAGGAGGCUUGUGAUUAUGUUGGGACCACAUGGGUAGGCCAGGUGAUCUCCCCAUUUGAAGGUCGACUGAUUAGCAAUCUAAAUUCUGCCCGGAACUUUAAUUCCUCUUUGCCAGGUAAUGCAUUCACAGAUCCUGGGGACUAGGGUGUGGACAUCUUUGGGAGGUCAUUAUUCUGCCUGCCAUAAUAGAAUUGUUGGGAAGAUUAAACAACAUAAUAUACAUGACGUAUGUUGAGGCACGCUUGGCACCUGGGAAAUACUCAGGAUGUACUAACCAUUGCUCCUACACAGUUCAGCUCCUGAAGGAGUCCAGGUGGGCUUUUGGCACAGAAUGAAACUAUCAGGUGUGAGGAGGGUCCUAGUCCAAUCUCUUCUUUUCAAAGAUGAUACAUUUGAAGCCCAGGGAGGACUGAUAAUUUGCCCAAGGUCACACAGCCAGUCAAGGAGGGGUUGCUCCCUUGCCAGCCCCAGACCCACCCAGAAGAUGCUGGGUCAUGUAGGGGUGGGCACAUGUCUUCCUGGCCAGAUCCUGCAGCUCCUGAAAGGCAAGCUGGUGGUGGGUCAUGACCUGAAGCACGACUUCCAGGCACUGAAAGAGGACAUGAGCGGCUACACAAUCUACGACACGUCCACUGACAGGCUGUUGUGGCGUGAGGCCAAGCUGGACCACUGCAGGCGUGUCUCCCUGCGGGUGCUGAGUGAGCGCCUCCUGCACAAGAGCAUCCAGAACAGCCUGCUUGGACACAGCUCGGUGGAAGAUGCGAGGGCAACGAUGGAGCUCUAUCAAAUCUCCCAGAGAAUCCGAGCCCGCCGAGGGCUGCCCCGCCUGGCUGUGUCAGACUGAAGCCCCAUCCAGCCCGUUCCGCAGGGACUAGAGGCUUUCGGCUUUUUGGGACAGCAACUACCUUGCUUUUGGAAAAUACAUUUUUAAUAGUAAAGUGGCUCUAUAUUUUCUCUACGCC
rnacentral:sRNA from 1 species